UACGAAGGGGGCUAGCGUUGCUCGGAAUCACUGGGCGUAAAGGGUGCGUAGGCGGGUCUUUAAGUCAGGGGUGAAAUCCUGGAGCUCAACUCCAGAACUGCCUUUGAUACUGAAGGUCUUGAGUUCGGGAGAGGUGAGUGGAACUGCGAGUGUAGAGGUGAAAUUCGUAGAUAUUCGCAAGAACACCAGUGGCGAAGGCGGCUCACUGGCCCGAUACUGACGCUGAGGUGCGAAAGCGUGGGGAGCAAACAGG
rnacentral:rRNA from 1 species